UUUAACAUGAGAGUUUGAUCCUGGCUCAGGAUGAACGCUGGCGGCGUGCUUAACACAUGCAAGUCGAACGGAGUAAUUAAAGUAGCUUGCUACAUUAAUUACUUAGUGGCGGACGGGUGAGUAACGCGU
rnacentral:rRNA from 2 species